rnacentral:rRNA from 1 species
GAUGAACGCUGGCGGCGUGCCUAAUACAUGCAAGUCGAGCGAACAGACGAGGAGCUUGCUCCUCUGACGUUAGCGGCGGACGGGUGAGUCCCACGUGGAUAACCUACCUAUAAGACUGGGAUAACUUCGGGCAACCGGAGCUAAUACCGGAUAAUAUAUUGAACCGCAUGGUUCAAUAGUGAAAGACGGUUUUGCUGUCACUUCUAGAUGGCUCCGCGCCGCAUUAGCUAGUUGGUAAGGUCACGGAUUACCAAGGAAACGAUGCGUAACCGACCUGAGAGGGUGAGCGGCCAGCAAGGAACUGAAACACGGCAGAGACGCCUACGGGACGCAGCAGGAGGGAAUUUUCAGCAACGGGCGAAAGCAUGACGGAACAACGCCGAGUGAGUGAUGAAGGUCUUCGGAUCGUAAAACUCUGUUAUUAGGGAAGAACAAAUGUGGAAGUAACUAUGCACGUCUUGACGGUACCUAAUCAGAAAGCCACGGCUAACUACGUG